rnacentral:rRNA from 1 species
UACGGGGGGAGCAAGCGUUGUACGGAUUUACUGGGCGUAAAGGGCGCGUAGGCGGCCACCGCAAGUCGACUGUGAAAUCUCCGGGCUUAACCCGGAAAGGUCAGCCGAUACUGCGGGGCUAGAGUGCAGAAGGGGCAACUGGAAUUCUCGGUGUAGCGGUGAAAUGCGUAGAUAUCGAGAGGAACACCUGCGGCGAAGGCGGGUUGCUGGGCUGACACUGACGCUGAUGCGCGAAAGCUAGGGGAGCGAACGGG